rnacentral:rRNA from 1 species
AUUGAACGCUGGCGGCAGGCCUAACACAUGCAAGUCGAGCGGAUGAAGGGAGCUUGCUCCUGGAUUCAGCGGCGGACGGGUGAGUAAUGCCUAGGAAUCUGCCUGGUAGUGGGGGAUAACGUCCGGAAACGGGCGCUAAUACCGCAUACGUCCUGAGGGAGAAAGUGGGGGAUCUUCGGACCUCACGCUAUCAUAUGAGCCUAGGUCGGAUUAGCUAGUUGGUGGGGUAAAGGCCUACCAAGGCGACGAUCCGUAACUGGUCUGAGAGGAUGAUCAGUCACACUGGAACUGAGACACGGUCCAGACUCCUACGGGAGGCAGCAGUGGGGAAUAUUAGACAAUGGGCGAAAGCCUGAUCCAGCCAUGCCGCGUGUGUGAAGAAGGUCUUCGGAUUGUAAAGCACUUUAAGUUGGGAGGAAGGGCAGUAAGUUAAUACCUUGCUGUUUUGACGUUACCAACAGAAUAAGCACCGGCUAACUUCGUG